rnacentral:tRNA from 3 species
CGCGGGGUGGAGCAGUCUGGUAGCUCGUCGGGCUCAUAACCCGGAGGUCGACCGUUCGAAUCGGUCCCCCGCCACCA